rnacentral:rRNA from 1 species
UGGGGAAUAUUGCACAAUGGGCGGAAGCCUGAUGCAGCGACGCCGUGUGCGGGAUGACGGCCUUCGGGUUGUAAACCGCUUUCAACUGUGACGAAUUUGACGGUAGCAGUAGAAGAAGCACCGGCUAACUACGUGCCAGCAGCCGCGGUGAUACGUAGGGUGCGAGCGUUGUCCGGAUUUAUUGGGCGUAAAGGGCUCGUAGGCGGUCUAUUGCGUCGGGAGUGAAAACCUGCGGCUUAACUGUGGGCUUGCUUUCGAUACGGGUGGACUUGAGGAGGGAAGGGGAGAACGGAAUUCCUGGUGGAGCGGUGGAAUGCGCAGAUAUCAGGAGGAACACCGGUGGCGAAGGCGGUUCUCUGGACCUUUCCUGACGCUGAGGAGCGAAAGCGUGGGGAGCAAACAGG